GGCACAGAUGCCCGUGGGAAGUUCUGAGAAUGGCCUGGUGGAAUUCUCCAAUGUCCU
rnacentral:ribozyme from 1 species